GUGGCGCUAAAUGUUUCUUCUUAUAAAUAAUAAUCAUAAUAUAUGAUGUGUAUGUUUUUAAGUGGAUUUACCUACGCUCAUUAAUUGUCAACAAACUUGGAAGAGAUGGCACGUGAUUUAUUGAUAAGGAAGUAUUUUAACGAAGGGUUUCCAUAUAAUGAAAUAGUUAAUUUUCUAUGUAAAUAUCACAACAUUUCAAUAUCUCGUCGACAUUUAAUUCGAAUUCUUAAAAAACUUGGACUGAAGCGUAAAUAUAUUGUUGAAGAUUCCUUGGAAAAAAUUGGUUCUGCCGUGAUUGA